GACGGAGGAUGCAAGCGUUAUCCGGAAUGAUUGGGCGUAAAGCGUCCGCAGGUGGCAGUUCAAGUCUGCUGUCAAAGACCGGGGCUUAACCCCAGAAAGGCAGUGGAAACUGAAGUGCUAGAGUGCAGUAGGGGUAGAGGGAAUUCCCGGUGUAGCGGUGAAAUGCGUAGAGAUCAGGAAGAACACCGGUGGCGAAAGCGCUCUGCUGGACCUUAACUGACACUGAGGGACGAAAGCUAGGGGAGCGAAUGGG
rnacentral:rRNA from 1 species